GUGGGGAAUCUUGCGCAAUGGGCGAAAGCCUGAUCCAGCCAUGCCGCGUGUGUGAAGAAGGUCUUCGGAUUGUAAAGCACUUUAAGUUGGGAGGAAGGGCAGUAAGUUAAUACCUUGCUGUUUUGACGUUACCGACAGAAUAAGCACCGGCUAACUUCGUGCCAGCAGCCGCGGUAAUACGAAGGGUGCAAGCGUUAAUCGGAAUUACUGGGCGUAAAGCGCGCGUAGGUGGUUUUGUAAGUUGGAGGUGAAAUCCCCGGGCUCAACCUGGGAACUGCCUCCAAAACUACUGAGCUAGAGUACGGUAGAGGGUAGUGGAAUUUCCUGUGUAGCGGUGAAAUGCGUAGAUAUAGGAAGGAACACCAGUGGCGAAGGCGACUACCUGGACUGAUACUGACACUGAGGUGCGAAAGCGUGGGGAGCAAACAGGAUUAGAAACCCCUGUAGUCC
rnacentral:rRNA from 1 species